AGUGAACGCUGGCGGUAGGCCUAACACAUGCAAGUCGAACGGCAGCACAGUAAGAGCUUGCUCUUACGGGUGGCGAGUGGCAGACGGGUGAGGAAUACAUCGGAAUCUACUUUUUCGUGGGGGAUAACGUAGGGAAACUUACGCUAAUACCGCAUACGACCUACGGGUGAAAGCAGGGGAUCUUCGGACCUUGCGCGAUUGAAUGAGCCGAUGUCGGAUUAGCUAGUUGGCGGGGUAAAGGCCCACCAAGGCGACGAUCCGUAGCUGGUCUGAGAGGAUGAUCAGCCACACUGGAACUGAGACACGGUCCAGACUCCUACGGGAGGCAGCAGUGGGGAAUAUUGGACAAUGGGCGCAAGCCUGAUCCAGCCAUACCGCGUGGGUGAAGAAGGCCUUCGGGUUGUAAAGCCCUUUUGUUGGGAAAGAAAAGCAGCAGGUUAAUACCCCGCUGUUCUGACGGUACCCAAAGAAUAGGCACCGGCUAACUUCGUG
rnacentral:rRNA from 1 species